GCAAGCGUUAUCCGGAAUUAUUGGGCGUAAAGAGCUCGUAGGCGGUUUGUCGCGUCUGCCGUGAAAGUCCGGGGCUCAACUCCGGAUCUGCGGUGGGUACGGGCAGACUAGAGUGAUGUAGGGGAGACUGGAAUUCCUGGUGUAGCGGUGAAAUGCGCAGAUAUCAGGAGGAACACCGAUGGCGAAGGCAGGUCUCUGGGCAUUAACUGACGCUGAGGAGCGAAAGCGUGGGUAGCGAGCAGG
rnacentral:rRNA from 1 species